ACAACGAAGAGUUUGAUCCUGGCUCAGGAUAAACGCUAGCGACAGGCCUAACACAUGCAAGUCGAGGGGCAACACGUCUUCGGAUGGUGGCGACCGGCGCACGGGUGAGUAACACGUAUGCAACCUACCUGUAAGAGGGGAAUAACCCGGAGAAAUUCGGACUAACACCGCAUAAUACAUAAUUACCGCAUGGUAUUUAUGUUAAAUAUUUAUAGCUUACAGAUGGGCAUGCGUAUGAUUAGCUAGUUGGUGAGGUAACGGCUCACCAAGGCAACGAUCAUUAGGGGUUCUGAGAGGAAGGUCCCCCACACUGGUACUGAGACACGGACCAGACUCCUACGGGAGGCAGCAGUGAGGAAUAUUGGUCAAUGGGCGAGAGCCUGAACCAGCCAUGUCGCGUGAAGGAAGAAUGUCCUAUGGAUUGUAAACUUCUUUUAUACAGGAAUAAAGUGUACUACGUGUAGUAUUUUGUAUGUACUGUAUGAAUAAGGAUCGGCUAACUCCGUGCCAGCAGCCGCGGUAAUACGGAGGAUCCGAGCGUUAUCCGGAUUUAUUGGGUUUAAAGGGUGCGUAGGCGGGCUGAUAAGUCAGUGGUGAAAGUUUGCAGCUUAACUGUAAAAUUGCCAUUGAAACUGUUAGUCUUGAGUACAGUAGAGGUAGGCGGAAUGUGUAGUGUAGCGGUGAAAUGCAUAGAUAUUACACAGAACACCAAUUGCGUAGGCAGCUUACUGGAGUGUCACUGACGCUGAGGCACGAUAGCGUGGGGAUCAAACAGGAUUAGAUACCCUGGUAGUCCACGCCGUAAACGAUGAUUACUAACUGUUUGCGAUAUAAUGUAAGUGGUACAGAGAAAUCGUUAAGUAAUCCACCUGGGGAGUACGCCGGCAACGGUGAAACUCAAAGGAAUUGACGGGGGCCCGCACAAGCGGAGGAACAUGUGGUUUAAUUCGAUGAUACGCGAGGAACCUUACCCGGGCUUGAAAUGCAGAGGAAUAUAGUGGAAACAUUAUCGCCAGCAAUGGUCUCUGUGUAGGUGCUGCAUGGUUGUCGUCAGCUCGUGCCGUGAGGUGUCGGCUUAAGUGCCAUAACGAGCGCAACCCUUAUCAUUAGUUACUAACAGGUUAAGCUGAGGACUCUAAUGAGACUGCCAC
rnacentral:rRNA from 1 species